rnacentral:rRNA from 1 species
ACACGGCGGGUGCUAACGUCCGUCGUGGAGAGGGAAACAACCCAGACCGCCAGCUAAGGUCCCAAAGUAUUGCUAAGUGGGAAACGAUGUGGGAAGGCUCAGACAGCUAGGAUGUUGGCUUAGAAGCAGCCAUCAUUUAAAGAAAGCGUAAUAGCUCACUAGUCGAGUCGGCCUGCGCGGAAGAUGUAACGGGGCUAAGCAAUACACCGAAGCUGCGGCAAUGUCUUUUAGACAUUGGGUAGGGGAGCGUUCUGUAAGCCGUUGAAGGUGAAUCGUAAGGUUUGCUGGAGGUAUCAGAAGUGCGAAUGCUGACAUGAGUAACGACAAAGGGGGUGAAAAACCUCCUCGCCGGAAGACCAAGGGUUCCUGUCCAACGUUAAUCGGGGCAGGGUGAGUCGACCCCUAAGGUGAGGCCGAAAGGCGUAAUCGAUGGGAAACGGGUUAAUAUUCCCGUACUUCUGACUAUUGCGAUGGGGGGACGGAGAAGGCUAGGUGGGCCAGGCGACGGUUGUCCUGGUUCAAGUGCGUAGGCUUGAGAGUUAGGUAAAUCCGGCUCUCUCUAAGGCUGAGACACGACGUCGAGCUACUACGGUAGUGAAGUCAUUGAUGCCAUGCUUCCAGGAAAAGCCUCUAAGCUUCAGAUAGUCAGGAAUCGUACCCCAAACCGACACAGGUGGUCGGGUAGAGAAUACCAAGGCGCUUGAGAGAACUCGGGUGAAGGAACUAGGCAAAAUGGUACCGUAACUUCGGGAGAAGGUACGCUCUUGAUGGUGAAGUCCCUCGCGGAUGGAGCUGACGAGAGUCGCAGAUACCAGGUGGCUGCAACUGUUUAUUAAAAACACAGCACUGUGCAAAAUCGCAAGAUGACGUAUACGGUGUGACGCCUGCCCGGUGCCGGAAGGUUAAUUGAUGGGGUUAGCGCAAGCGAAGCUCUUGAUCGAAGCCCCGGUAAACGGCGGCCGUAACUAUAACGGUCCUAAGGUAGCGAAAUUCCUUGUCGGGUAAGUUCCGACCUGCACGAAUGGCGUAAUGAUGGCCACGCUGUCUCCACCCGAGACUCAGUGAAAUUGAAAUCGCUGUGAAGAUGCAGUGUACCCGCGGCUAGACGGAAAGACCCCGUGAACCUUUACUACAGCUUGGCACUGAACAUUGAACCUACAUGUGUAGGAUAGGUGGGAGGCUAUGAAGACGUGACGCCAGUUGCGUUGGAGCCGUCCUUGAAAUACCACCCUUGUAUGUUUGAUGUUCUAACUUAGACCCAUUAUCUGGGUUGAGGACAGUGCCUGGUGGGUAGUUUGACUGGGGCGGUCUCCUCCCAAAGAGUAACGGAGGAGCACGAAGGUGGGCUAAUCACGGUUGGACAUCGUGAGGUUAGUGCAAUGGCAUAAGCCCGCUUAACUGCGAGAAUGACGGUUCGAGCAGGUGCGAAAGCAGGUCAUAGUGAUCCGGUGGUUCUGUAUGGAAGGGCCAUCGCUCAACGGAUAAAAGGUACUCCGGGGAUAACAGGCUGAUACCGCCCAAGAGUUCAUAUCGACGGCGGUGUUUGGCACCUCGAUGUCGGCUCAUCACAUCCUGGGGCUGAAGUCGGUCCCAAGGGUAUGGCUGUUCGCCAUUUAAAGUGGUACGCGAGCUGGGUUUAGAACGUCGUGAGACAGUUCGGUCCCUAUCUGCCGUGGGCGUUGGAAGAUUGAAGGGGGCUGCUCCUAGUACGAGAGGACCGGAGUGGACGAACCUCUGGUGUUCGGGUUGUGUCGCCAGACGCAUUGCCCGGUAGCUAAGUUCGGAAUUGAUAAGCGCUGAAAGCAUCUAAGCGCGAAGCGAGCCCUGAGAUGAGUCUUCCCUGACAGUUUAACUGUCCUAAAGGGUUGUUCGAGACUAGAACGUUGAUAGGCAGGGUGUGUAAGCGUUGUGAGGCGUUGAGCUAACCUGUACUAAUUGCCCGUGAGGCUUAACCAUACAACACCCAAGGGGUUUUGUA